GAAUACGGCCAUACCACCCUGCGAUCUCAUCUGAUCUCAGAAACUAAGCAGGGUUGGGCCUGGUUAGUACUUGGAUAGGAGUCAUAAUUUUUUUUUUUAUAAGCGUGAUCAUUUUAUUUUAUUCA
rnacentral:rRNA from 1 species